GAUGAACGCUGGCGGCGUGCCUAAUACAUGCAAGUCGAGCGAACGGACGAGAAGCUUGCUUUUCUGAUGUUAGCGGCGGACGGGUGAGUAACACGUGGAUAACCUACCUAUAAGACUGGGAUAACUUCGGGAAACCGGAGCUAAUACCGGAUAAUAUUUGAACCGCAUGGUUCAAAAGUGAAAGACGGUCUUGCUGUCACUUAUAGAUGGAUCCGCGCUGCCUUAGCUGGUUUGUAAGGUAACGGCUUACCAAGGCAACGAUGCAUAGCCGACCUGAGAGGCUGAUAGCCCACAUGGGAAGUGAGCCAGGGUCAAUACUCCUACGGGAGGCAGCAGUCGGGAAUCUUCCGCAGUGGGCGAAAGCAUUACGGAGCAACGCCGCGUGAGUGAUGACGGUCUUCGGAUCGUAAAACUCUGUUACUAGGGAAGAACAUAUGUGUAAGUAACUGUGCACAUCUUGACGGUAACUAAUCAGAAAGCCCCGGCUAACUACGUG
rnacentral:rRNA from 1 species